rnacentral:rRNA from 1 species
UACGGAGGGAGCCAGCGUUGUUCGGAAUUACUGGGCGUAAAGCGCACGUAGGCGGCUUUGUAAGUUAGAGGUGAAAGCCCGGGGCUCAACCCCGGAAUUGCCUUUAAGACUGCAUCGCUUGAAUCCGGGAGAGGUGAGUGGAAUUCCGAGUGUAGAGGUGAAAUUCGUAGAUAUUCGGAAGAACACCAGUGGCGAAGGCGGCUCACUGGACCACAACUGACGCUGAGGCGCGAAAGCUAGGGGAGCAAACAGG